GAUGAACGCUGGCGGCAUGCCUUACACAUGCAAGUCGAACGGCAGCACGGGAGCAAUCCUGGUGGCGAGUGGCGAACGGGUGAGUAAUAUAUCGGAACGUGCCCAGUCGUGGGGGAUAACGUAGCGAAAGCUACGCUAAUACCGCAUACGAUCUAUGGAUGAAAGCGGGGGAUCGCAAGACCUCGCGCGAUUGGAGCGGCCGAUAUCAGAUUAGGUAGUUGGUGAGGUAAAGGCUCACCAAGCCGACGAUCUGUAGCUGGUCUGAGAGGACGACCAGCCACACUGGGACUGAGACACGGCCCAGACUCCUACGGGAGGCAGCAGUGGGGAAUGUUGACAAUGGGCGCAAGCCUGAUCCAGCAAUGCCGCGUGCAGGAUGAAGGCCUUCGGGUUGUAAACUGCUUUUGUACGGAACGAAACGGCGAGCUCUAAUACAGUUUGCUAAUGACGGUACCGUAAGAAUAAGCACCGGCUAACUACGUGCCAGCAGCCGCCGCUG
rnacentral:rRNA from 1 species